rnacentral:lncRNA from 1 species
AACCUAAGAUGUACUAAUCUCAAACAGCAGCUGUGCCGAGAGAGCAUGGACAACAGUCGAGCCACGCAGUCCAGGGGGGAGGCAGGAUCUGCAGCUCUCAGAUCCAGUCUCAAGAUGGGGAGCUCCGGUGUGCUAUGGAAGGAGAAGCCUCUGAGGUAACGCCCUUCCCUCCUUCUCUCUCCCCUUCUCCCUUUUUCUUCUCCCCUCCCUCUCUUGCCCCCUCAUUUCCUGUCUUUUCUCUCUUCUUCCUCGUAGUCCUUUCUCCUUUCCCAUCUCCCUCCUCCUGCCUUCUUCCCCAGUCAGUCCUUGGGUCCCCAACACAGGAAAGAGAUCAGGUGUGAGCCUGGGUUAGGCCUACCUUCCCCACAAGCCUUCCUAGUUCUGUGACCUCAGCCAGGGUCUCAGGCAGAGGUGACCAGGUCCUAAGACUUUACAGAUCAGGGGCAGCUGGUAAGACGUGGACAAGGCUACCAGAUAACCUGAGAGGGGACCCCAGGAUGAAGAGACAUCCGGUCCCCAGCUCAGCUAUAGACUGUGUGGCAAGGACAAUUGCCAUCUGAAGAGGAGUUACAAUGACCAGUCACACCACACCUUCAGGAGAUGGGGCCCGUUCUGGUGUGCAGGUCUGGAACCCUCAUGUGCCUUCCCGCAGCUCUGGCAGCUCUGGCCCAGAUUCUUUGUGCUGCCAAGGGACCGGUUGGAGUCUUGGGGCUUCUACUGGUCCAUCCACGGCCAUCCCAGACAUGAAGACUCGGACUUUUUUCUCCACAUGUCCAUGGACCUGAGGGACAAUUGGGCACUGUGGCUACCAGCUGCUGCCCAUGCUGGAUUGCCACAUGAGGGCAAAGGAUGACCUCUGAGCCUCUCCAAGUUCUGCAAAGAUAAUUCUGGUUCCUCCCUGUCCUCCUAGGAUCCUGUUUCAGUUCCUACACGUGUGUGUGUGUGGGGUCAUUGACUCCUCAGCCUUGUUUCACCAAGCCUUUCCCAGAAGUAAAUCUUGAUGCUG